AAAAAGGGCUUGUGCUGUGAAUUGCACAGGGACGGGGUGGGGAUCUCGCCCCGUCUCUGCGGAAUCGAUAUCAAGAGAUUUCGGAAGCACAAUUUUUGUGAUUUUGGGCUGCUGAUGAUCGUUAUUCUUGGCGCCCUA
ensembl:snRNA RNU11-3P RNA, U11 small nuclear 3, pseudogene